rnacentral:rRNA from 1 species
AUUGAACGCUGGCGGCAUGCCUUACACAUGCAAGUCGAACGGUAACAGGUCUUCGGAUGCUGACGAGUGGCGAACGGGUGAGUAAUACAUCGGAACGUGCCCGAGAGUGGGGGAUAACGAAGCGAAAGCUUUGCUAAUACCGCAUACGAUCUCAGGAUGAAAGCAGGGGACCGCAAGGCCUUGCGCUCACGGAGCGGCCGAUGGCAGAUUAGGUAGUUGGUGGGAUAAAAGCUUACCAAGCCGACGAUCUGUAGCUGGUCUGAGAGGACGACCAGCCACACUGGGAAUGAGAAACGGCCCAGACUCCUACGGGAGGCAGCAGUGGGGAAUUUUGGACAAUGGGCGCAAGCCUGAUCCAGCCAUGCCGCGUGCAGGAUGAAGGCCUUCGGGUUGUAAACUGCUUUUGUACGGAACGAAAAGACUCUGGUUAAUACCUGGGGUCCAUGACGGUACCGUAAGAAUAAGCACCGGCUAACUACGUGCCAGCCGCCGCAGUAAAAC